UUGACCUCGGAUCAGGUAGGGAUACCCGCUGAACUUAAGCAUAUCAAUAAGCGGAGGAAAAGAAACCAACAGGGAUUGCCUCAGUAACGGCGAGUGAAGCGGCAACAGCUCAAAUUUGAAAGCUGCCAACAGGCCGCAUUGUAAUUUGUAGAANAUCUUUGGGUGUCGGUCCAGUCUAAGUGCUCUGGAACGGGCCGUCAUAGAGGGUAGAAUCCCGUAUGUAUGGGGUGUCCGCGNCCAUGUGNAGCUCCUUCGACGAGUCGAGUUGUUUGGGAAUGCAGCUCUAAAUGGGUGGUAAAUUUCAUCUAAAGCUAAAUAUUGGCCG
rnacentral:rRNA from 1 species